AACGAACGCUGGCGGCGUGCCUAACACAUGCAAGUCGAACGAGAAAGGGGCUUCGGCUCCGAGUAAGGUGGCGCACGGGUGAGUAACACGUGGGUAACCUGCCUCUAAGAUUGGGAUAACUCGUCGAAAGAUGAGCUAAUACCGAAUAAGACCACAGUUCCCGCGGGAACAGGGGUCAAAGGUAGCCUCUGCUUGCAAGCUAUCACUUAGAGAUGGGCCUGCGCACCAUUAGCUAGUUGGUAGGGUAACGGCCUACCAAGGCAAAGAUGGUUAGCUGGUCUGAGAGGAUGAUCAGCCACACUGGAACUGAGACACGGUCCAGACUCCUACGGGAGGCAGCAGUGGGGAAUAUUGCGCAAUGGGCGAAAGCUUGACGCAGCAACGCCGCGUGAGUGAUGAAGGCCUUCGGGUCGUAAAGCUCUGUCGGGAGGAACGAAUGCUCCUGAGGUUAACAGCCUCGGGAGGUGACGGUACCUUCAAAGGAAGCACCGGCUAACUCUGU
rnacentral:rRNA from 1 species